rnacentral:rRNA from 1 species
AUGAACGCUGGCGGCGUGCUUCACACAUGCAAGUCGAACGAAACACCUUAUUUGAUUUUCUUCGGAACUGAAGAUUUGGUGAUUGAGUGGCGGACGGGUGAGUAACGCGUGGGUAACCUGCCCUGUACAGGGGGAUAACAGUCAGAAAUGACUGCUAAUACCGCAUAAGACCACAGCACCGCAUGGUGCAGGGGUAAAAACUCCGGUGGUACAGGAUGGACCCGCGUCUGAUUAGCUGGUUGGUGAGGUAACGGCUCACCAAGGCGACGAUCAGUAGCCGGCUUGAGAGAGUGAACGGCCACAUUGGGACUGAGACACGGCCCAAACUCCUACGGGAGGCAGCAGUGGGGAAUAUUGCACAAUGGGGGAAACCCUGAUGCAGCGACGCCGCGUGAGUGAAGAAGUAUUUCGGUAUGUAAAGCUCUAUCAGCAGGGAAGAAAAUGACGGUACCUGACUAAGAAGCCCCGGCUAACUACGUG